rnacentral:lncRNA from 1 species
UGCUCCAUGGUUGUCGUGUAGACAGCCAAUCGAUAGCAGAGCAAAUUAAAAAGCACCGGAGAACCAUCCUCUUUCCGCUCUUCUACUUCAACGCUGACAUCGUCGUUCGUCGUUUGACAUUGGUGUUGGUGAGGACCUCUGCAUGAUGUGCACCCUGCUAGCCCUGUUAAACCUUACGAUCAUUAGCUGUUACCGUCCAUGCAGUUGCCCAGUUAAAACAAUCGGCCAUGAAUUAAGGAGCAAGCUUUGCUGGCCUCUGGUCAUCCUCGACGUAGAGGCAUAUAUUUCCUUAUUCCUACACGAAGAGUCAUUUGCUGGCAAUAUGUAUUCAUCUAUCUCCAAUCGUGAGGUCAGCACAAAACACCCUGAUAAUUAGAAGACCAGAUGUCCAUUUAAUUCCUUUGCCCUAUUGUUUUAUAUCAGCUAAUAAAUUUAAUGGUAUGCUGAUGUCAUCUCUUCAUCAUAUGCGUGUAAUAUUUUAGUUUUCUUUUACGACAUCUAGAAUUUCUUUUGCUGAUAAUAUUCGUCACGUGCAUAGGACCUUGUCUUAGUGUCUCAUCUUACAUGUUAUCGGCAAACCUCUUGCGUAGAUAAUACUAGCUUUUGCAUCUUAAAUCAUCUGCCAUUUUGUCAUCCUAGCUCCGAUUUAGUCUAUUUUGAUUUCGUUAGUUUUGUGUUGAAAUAGUUUAAAUGUUAGAAAUGACCUUACCAUGCUAAAUAUUUCAAAUAAGAGUAAUUAGUUUUCUUUUUAAUUUAAUUAUUAAUGUGUUUGGUUUAAACACAUAUAUUGAACCCGUGUAGAUGUUCUCACGUGAUAAUGUGUUCUUUUGCUAAAUUACAUGGCGGUAUUUACAAAUAAAAUAUGAUUAGCUUCAACUUUUAAAAUUUAAUAUGUUAUGGUUAAUAUGAUUUGAUACUAUACACAUAAUUUUUCUUAGAUAAAAUAAAUCAAGCUCAUAGAUAUUUCUCGUUAGUCAUUUUCUUUGCUAAGACUUAAUUAGCGUGGUUUGCAUGUCUUGGUGCUCGCUGCGAUUCGUAGAUUAAUUUUUUUAAAUCUUUUUAUUGUUUGGUGUACUGUUCUAAUUAUAGCCGUGUUUGCUUCAUGUAUGUGUGGUCCCGAUUGUUUGUGUGUUGUUGAUCGAUGAUCGAGUUUAGUCGGUGAGCAAUUCAUGGUGAACAAGAGUGCUUCAGUGAUUAAGAUCAGUACUUGGACAACUAGCAAGAUCAGCAAGAGCAAUUGGGUUAAGGCAAGUAUAGCAUUUGGAUUUUAAUUCUGUGGUCAUGAUCCUGUGACUAGAUUAAUGUUAAGUAAUAAACAAUAAAAAUGACUUUUUAGCAACUUGAUGAUUUGUCUGUAUGUGAUCACCCGGGACAACAGUGCAACCAUAAGGGCUAUAAUGGCUCUGGCUUUAGCUCAGUAUGAAGAACUUUUCUAGCUUGUUAGAGGUUACCGAAAGGGCGGAGGGGCUUAACCGUUUUGGGUAUAGUGUGGCCUCUGUCUGUAUGUGUAUAGGCUGCGUGUCAUUGUGCCAUCGGAAGAGGGGCUCUAUAUCUGCGCGCAAAGGAAACCUUGCGGUCCUAACAUGUUAGACGAACUUUUGAAAGACUUCAUAGUGAUCUCUGUCGACCUUCCUUGGUAGUGGGUUAAGAGGUCGACGAGCCUCGGGCGAAAGGAUAAAUCAUGACUCAAGGGUAAAGAUGUACAACCUCUGCAGAGUGUUAAAGACUAGUAUACUAGCCGAGCUCACGCUCAGGAGCGGCCUUGGGGACAUCUACAUUAAGGACGAUGAAUCUUGUGUGUUAAGUAUACUCAUUGUUUAUUGUUUAAAGCUUUACAUUAUUUAUGUCACAUUGAUCAUGAGAUUGUGGGAUCUAUACAAUCUAGUUGCUAUACUUGUGGAGUUCGACAUGGACUCACUCUUGCUAUUUCUCCACACCCCUCAGGAGAAGUUUUGAGCUUGUGAUCAACCAGUCAGUUGGAUCCUGUAGAGAGAAGUUAAUACCCGAAGUUGGAGUUGUCUAUCUGCUGUUUGCUAUUAAAGGUUAUCUCUUUUAUACUAAGUAUGUUAUAUAACUUAUGCAUUGUCUUUUGAUAUUACCCCUUAUUUGUAGCUAUAUGUGAGAUUCAACUUCUAAAACUCACAUAUAGUGCAUAUCUGGUUUUGUCCUUAAAAUUGGGUAUUACAAAGUAAGCUUGGGGGUAUUGUUGACGGUCGAUAACGUCAAAAUUUACUAGAACUUUAGAUACAAAGGAACACAUGAAAACACACUAGUCUAGGGUUUUAUCUGACAAUUUUCACGAGUUUUGCAUAUUCUGUAUUUUCUAGGGUGAAUUUUAGAAAAGCUAAAAAGAGAGAUUCUAGUGCAUAAUUACCACGAAACUUAUCCGCGACGGAAAAUAUCGUCAUCAGGCUUAGGAAGAGUCUAGAAGACACCCGAAGGAACGAGACCUAUAGAGGAGAGAAGGUGGGGCCGGCCAACCCCACCAUGGGGCCGGUCGGCGCCCUAGGUUAUCCGAUGGCCGCCGCCUUCUGGAGUCUUCCUCCUACGCCUCCUUGGAAGCCAAGCAAAGUAUCCCUACGUUGAUUUUGAGUUGGUUAGAUCCGAUGGUGCAUGCAAGAUGAAGACAAGGAUCGCUGACGUGGUGGUUCCUUGCCCGCUACUCCACCUCGGCCUAUAUAAUGACACCCAAGGCUCCCCCAAGAGGCAUUCUACGCCCCAGUGCUUCAUAUUCUCUACAUAAUUAGGGUUAGGGUCCCUCUAGUUGAUCUAGUUUUAGUUCAUCUAGAUGUAGCAAUUAGGAGAGACUAGUUCUUCUAGAUCUAGUCUUGUUUAGAGAUUAGAGAGAUUGAGUAGAGGAGUAGAGAUUCUGGAGGAGUUCCGGCCUGUCGGCGCUUCUUCAUGGCUAUAUUCUUCUGGAUUCGGUUCCCUCGCCCGGAGCAGCGUUCUGAAGUACUUUUGUACUUACCAUUCCGAUUUAAGUAAGCAACUUGUUCUUAUUCGUUCUUUGGUUCACAUCUCAUAUUGAGUGCUUUGAUCUUGGUCAUUACUUAGUUGAAGUAGUAUUUCGUAGUGUAGGCGUGGUGUCUCGGCUAGGUUUACUUAUGGAUGUCCCCUGAUCAGCUGGACAGUGGUAGCUCGCGUAGGUGACUUUACAGCUAUGUUGAAUCCUCUGUAAUCCACUUCCCGUUGAUAGGACUGAUAGGCUUAUAGAUGCCUGGUAGGAGAUUACUCUGUUUCUUCUCCUAUUCGGGUUACUUGUCCGAUAAGACGAUAUUAUACAAAGUUUAUCGGAGUCAAAACCAGAGUGCAUUAGCUAUUUCCUUUUUCUUGAUAUGAUCUAGCCUAAUUGUAGGGUUAAGUCUAUAUACUUUGUCAUCAUCACAAGUAUUCCCUGUGGAUACGAUAGUUAAAACCUCUGGGUAAAAUGUGACACUGGUAUGAUAUCUGUGCGCUUGCGAAUAAUUCUACUUAAAACUUAUAUAAUGGAGUGUAGUUAAUUUAUACGAACAUAUUUGAGGUUACUUGUUUAGUUAAUUUCUUUAGUACUGGUUAUUACUUAUUAUCUAAAGUUUCUGCUAUGUGACUCUGGUUGUUCUCUGACUGGUGGAUGCAAGGCCGACAGUGCUGACCUUCUAGGGUGGCAGUGCCGCCCUAUGCCCCAACAGUCGAACUCUCUAUUGUUUAAACUAUCAUAUGCAUCAUGGUUAUUCCUGUGACACUUUGCAUAGCACCCCACAGCAGGCAUGGAUGUAGGGGAGGUCUCAUCACCUAAAAUGUGAAAUUUUGCAUUAUAAGCAAGUGUUGAGAAUUCUAUUCUACAUUCACAUUUUUAGGGGGAGGCUCCUACAUCCAUGACUCAAAAAUCUUAGUUACUGUUUAUAUCUUUUGUAAGCUCUAAUUGGUUUGUCAUCAAUCACCGAAAAGAGGGAGAUUGUAAGUGCAAUCAAGCCCUAAUGUGGGUUUUGGUGUUAAUGACCAUCAAAUUAGAGGACUAAUAGGAUUUAUCGAGAUGAUAAGCAGGGAAUCAAAUAUUGAGGAUGAUGAAUAGGUUGUAGGUACCCAAAAUGGUGAACAGUGGAACCAGAUGCACAUCUCUCUAGAAUAACACUCACUUUCUUAGCCAAAGCAGCCUACAAAAUAGAUUUACAUAAUACCUAUUUUGGCCAGGGUGGCAAUGCCGCCCAUUACUGACCGUUGGGACCCAGGUGGUACUUAUACCUCCAGAGUUGUCCCACAAUGGUUAUCUGCUUCCUCACUCGACACAACUCAUAGACAGGAAGAUAGACCAGAGCUCUCUCUCUCUCUCCCUCCAUUGUUGCUCCUUCACCCUCAAGCAAAUCCUUGAUUCCAACCAUCAAACCUUGAGAGAAAAGACAAAAAAACUCGAUUAGAGAGUAGAUCCACUGAUUCCUAAAGUCUUAGAGCAUUUGGUUGAUGUGUGGCCGGCGGUUCUAGGGUUUAUUACUCUUAGAGCUUGCUCCUAGCUGGCUAGGCAUCGCCCUUGAGCUUGCCCUCUUGUGUGGCAGCUUAGGGAGGUUUGUAACCUCACUCUUGUAGCUAAGAAAUUACCCCUCAACUCAAGAGUUCACUCUCUUGACUUGAGAACAAGGGUAGGGCAAGCCUUUGGUGGCUUCCUCAACAACAUGGACAUAGGCAAACCUUGGUGGUGAGCUGAACCACAAGAUAAAUCACUGAGUCUUGUGUGCUACUGUGGAUUAUAUCUUGUGAUUGACCCUUUCUAGGGUUUGGAGUCUCAAUCUAUUUUCUGUGAUAUCUAGUUUUCGUAUUGGAUCUUGUGUUGAUUUUGCAAGAUUGCAUAGUUUACAGUUUCAGUUUACUUUCUAUAAAAUCUCGUUACUAUCUGCUCAUACAUCGAAGGCCGAUAGUGCUGCCCUCUGUUGUAACAGAGUUUUGAGUUAAAUUUUUAUAGGCCUAUUCACCCCUUCUAGGUCUCUUUUACCUUCUAGGAGAUCCUACACCAAUGGGGCGUGAUUGUUCUUUUGGAACAUCAACUAUCUUUGUCUCCUGAAACUGUGCACACAAUUUGGGCUCCUCUUUUAUUAUCUUCCACCAAUGCACCAAUGAAAAAUGCUUUCCAAUCCUGCUUUCAUAUGUCUUAUGUCACUAGAGUAUCCACUUGUAUGCAUUUGAGUUACCUUAGUCCAAGCGUCAUUGAAAUCGGUGAUCGAUGACUUGAGACGUGACCAAUGAACCUUCAAUUGGUUCAUUUCCCUUCUACCUUCCCAUUACCUUUCUUGUUAUACUCAUAAGUGACUUCCUUCCAAAAUGUAUCAAAUUUCUUGUCAUUACCCUUAACUGGAUCUUUAGAAGCAUUCAACCAAGCACUGGCCUACAAAAUAAAAAAAAUAAGAACAAAUCAAGUAUUAUACUAAACACUGACCUACAAAAAGAAAAUAAAAUGCAAAUUGAUAAGUGAUUACCAGUCUCUCUUCCUCUUCAGGAGUCCAAUAUCUUUUCUUUACUGCCCUAUUUGCCUCACGAUUCUCUCCUUCAUCAAUGUCAAUAUUCACCGUGUCCUUUGCUGAAGUGCCUUGUUUCACAGUUUGGGAUGGAACUGGUCCAUAGGCACUUGGUGGUGCUGGUGGUGGGGAUAUUGGGUUCAAGCCCAUGGUAUGACCAACAAACUGAAAAUUUUCUCCUUGCAUCUGUGGGUGCGGCGGAUAUUGUGGUCGUUGAAGCAAAUUUGUACAACAACCUUGUGGAUAAACCGCCCUGACAUUUCCAAAAACAAGUUAACUCCUCCUCAAAGUAGUGAAAAAUAUUGCAAAUAAUGAGAAAGUACAGGCUUUACUAUUAUAUAACACUAUAUAUAGCAUGUAGUGCCUGUCUAGUAAGGAAUCGAUGUCCAAACUAGUGAUUAAAAUGUCAGACUUUUUCCCUCAUCAUUUUUUUGAGAAACAACUCCCUCAUCAUACAUGGCCUACGGACAGUACAAUAUGGCAUACCUACUAACAUGCAACAAAUAUAGUGGCUUACGAGUCCUUGCUUACAAUAUGGCAUAAAUCAACUGAUGACAAACUAAAAAACAUCAUAUUGCACUAACAGGUUUGCAUUAGGAUCAGUCGCUAAGAACUGUCCGAGCAUCUGGUGAAAAUUGAGUUUUCAUACAUGAAAAAUAUUGCAGCAACCUACACUAGUACACACACCUCAACUACCUGUAUGCAUAGUCGAUAGAAAUUAGCUACCUACACUAGCCACACACAUCUGCUUGAAAUUCAGAGAUGGUAAAAAUCACUAUCAAAACCAAUUACUUGCAUAGAUUGAAAUCAACAUAUACCAUAGAUUCGGGGCUUGCUGAGUUCCUUGUUCAAAUGAAAAAUUUGGGGCCAUGGCCCCCAAUCCUGCCCCUUGUGUUGGCCUUGAUGGCACUCCUGCUCCUUGGAGUGGCCUCAGAGGCACCGUUGAAGUAGGAUCAGUAGGGGAUGAAUUCGGCAUAGCUGGGGUAGGCGCAGGGGAAGAAGUUGGCAGAGACGGAGAGAGGGAAGAAGCUAGAGGGGCCGGCAGCACAGAGAAGGAAUUUGGCGGCGGCGGCAGAGACAGAGAGAGGGAAGAAGUUGGAGGAGCCGUCAACGUAGAGAAGGAAUUUGGCGGCGGCACAGACAAUGGAGAAGCUGCAGGGGCCGACGGCGAAGGGGAUAACGUUGUCUUCAUUCCAAGGCGGCUGCCACCGUGCCCUUUCCCUCCUUUGCCGCGUGACCUGGAGAUCUGAUGGCCGGCAUCCAUGGCGGAGGUCUUCGCGCGUGCCAGGAGCUCCAGACUCGUCUAUUUGUGGAAUAGGGUUUGGUGCAUAGGGCAAAUGGAGAAGAUGGCACACACGAUGAAGGAGAAAGAAGAAAGCGCGGGAGGAAUUGGCACACGCCGCCUGGUCGCUUGGAGCACGGAAUCGAUGGGGAUAGCUCGCUCGUUUCGUGCUGUCGUGCGGUUACCAAGGACUUGGUAACUAAGCUCGCUCGUCUCGUGGCCACGACACAACCUCCUUCUCUCUCUUGGUUGUUUCAUGCAAAGAUUCUAUUUUUCUACUGAUGUGGGCCUUGUUUAGUUUCAAAAGAAUUUGUAAAAAAAUUUAGACUUCCAGUCAUAUCGAAUCUUACGGCAUAUACAUGGAGCAUUAAAUAUAGAUACAUGAAAUAACUAAUUAUAUAGUUUAUCUGUAAUUUGUGAGAUGAAUCUUUUAAGCCUAUUUAGUUUAUAAUUGGACAAUAUUUGUUAAAUAUAAAUGAAAGUGUUACCGUGUCUAUUUUGUUAAAUUUUUUAAAACUAAACAAGGCCUAAAUGUGUAUGAUAUCCGAUCAAAUUUUCAUCUAGACUCGUCUGACACGGGAAGCUCGGGCGGCGCAGCGUGUAGGGUCGCUAGGCUGCGUCGGAUGCGGGAUUGGACCGUGCGUGCGCCAGGACAACGCCACGGCCGGCUCUAGUGGCAAAUCGUUAUCUGUUUCCUCGUCUUCUCCAUUUCAUCCCAGCCACCACUUCCCGCCAUGCCGCCACCGCCGCCGCAGGGUCCAGCUCCCUCCCACGCUGGCCGCGCCAACCUCUUCUCCGCCCCGCCGCCUGCCCUCUCCAACCGCCGCUACCCCAGUCAGCGGUCCCUGCCCCUCCCGCCCGUCCCCCCUCGCCGCCGCGACCCCAAGAACCACCGCCCGCAGCCUUCCCAAGAGGAAGAACGACCGACAGACAGCGGUCCAAGGAGAACGGCUGCCACCAACCCGGCCUUCCGCGCGUCCCACCUCCGUACCGCGUACCGCAAGCCCGUGCCCCCAGCCGCAGCCGCCGGCGAAGGCGAGGCCCUCCUCGCCGCCGACCCAACCGACGCCGCCUCGGGGCGCGCCGUCGUCGUGGGUCCCUCGGGCCUCUCCUUCCGCCUCCCCGGCGCGCCGUUCGACUUCCAGUUCAGCUACUCCGAGGGGCCCCGAGCCCCGCCGCUCGCCAUCCGGGAGCCGGCCUUCGUGCCCUUCGCGCCGCCGACCAUGCCGCGGCCCUGGACGGGCAAGGCGCCGCUGCUGACUAAGGAGGAGAAGGCGCGCCGCCGGGGCGUGCGGCUGCACACGCCGCUCGGGCAGGAGCCGCCGCAAACGGUGAGCGCGCACGGGAUCAUGAUGGAGGUCAGGGACAGGAGGCAAAUGGACCUGGCCAGGGUCAGCCCCGGUGAUGGCAGAAGCAGGGAGGAGGUGCUCGGUGAGCCGCUCACCCCAUCUGAGGUGCGCGCGCUCGUCAAGCCGCACAUUUCACACAACCGGCAGCUCAACAUUGGUAACAACUGCACUGCCAUUUUCAAGAGAGAAUCUGAUUAUUUUUCCUGCCUUUAUAUUCGUUCAGACUUAGAUUAAACUCAAAUGGGCCAAUGUGGAGAGCAUAAUGAGAUAAUUUAGUGGCAUGAGAACAAACACAUCUGGAGUUAAGUUUGAUGAAAGGUUUUUUUCGGUUGCACUGUAAGGUUAAAAAUAUGGAUUGUAGCACAACCAUGGUAUCUGCCUACAAAUUCAGUCAAUUGUUACUUUGUUAGGAAACUCUGAAACGAUAUAGCAAUGUUUUUCAUACAUGAAACGGGAACAUGUCAAUUGUGUCCCUUCAACUCUUCUCAGGGUUUUAUUGUGGGCCAAUUGCAUACCUCUUUGUACCAUUUUUAUGAACUUGCCAUUUGAGAAGUCAUAAUUGCAUAGUUGCCACCAAAAGCGCUGGUCAUCAAACCCACCACUUGAUUAUCAAACUAAAGAAAUGUCAUCAUCAGACAAUUCCCCCAUUUUUCUCUCUCCUCCCUUCCCCAUCAGCACACUGAUGGCAUCACGUCAUGGUGUUCCAUUUCUUCAGUCCAAGAAUCCUCCUUAUCACUCCAUCUCCAUGGUUACCAUUGCAACUUCUGGACAUAGGGUUGGACGGGCAGGUAGCCAGGAGCUGAGGGCACCAGCUAGGGGGACUUGUGCCAGAUUAGGUUAGCUCUUGCUCGUCAGCAGUGGAGGGCCGAGGAGUUUGGGCAUUGGGUGGCCUCCCCAUCCUCCUAGCUCGCCUCCCCAUCCUCUCCAUCCUCCUUGCUGAUCUUCUAUUCGUUCUCAAGUCACUGUCCACCAUGCAAGCUCAUCAGCACCUCCUCACCGAGUCACCAUCUCCUGCUCCUCCUUCUUCCAAUCCUCCACGGUGUCAUGAUGGCUGCAGUGCUGUAGAUGCAAGCAGCAGCAUUGGAGGUGCUCGCACCAGAGGUGGGCCGUGGGGACACUGGGAUGGGGAGGAGGGGUCAGCACCACGUAAGAGAAAGGGGGCUGCAAUCGCGAAAGAAAGGAAGCAUCAGAAAGUAUAUGCCCAGGGUUAAUUUGGUAAUUCCAGAUAUGAUUUUCUGUACGUAUUUUCUGAAAUGUUUUUGCACCUAUUGGAUAACAUUAUCUAACAGAAGUUAAACUAGUGACUCUGGAGGGGAUUCCAGUGGUAGUUUUCCAGUAGAUGUUUUUUUAAUGGCAAAUAUCAAAUAGGAGUCAAAUCAGUAGCAAAUAUGCAUUUUGUCCUUUUAAUUAUUGUCACUCCUCUGCAGCUGGCACACCUGCUAUCAGCAGUGUUUUGAUUUGCUGGUCCCGAGAAAGAACACCACUGUGUUCAAGCAGGAGGUUGCCAGCAAUAAAGGCAGUGAGAGUUGUUUUAGCUCGUCUGGAUCCAACUUGCGGGCCAAACUUGGUAGGGAGGGAUGGGUCCUCACUCCUGACUGGUGUUCAGAGUUGGAGUUGUAUGGCCCUGUAUUGCAGAGAGUCGAGGGACAAAGUUAAAUCUUCUUUUCUUUUUGUCGCAAAGCUAAAUCUUAUUACUGAUGGAGUUUAGAGUUAAAUAUCAAUUUCCUGAACAAUUUCCUGUAGGAAGAGAUGGCUUGACUCACAACAUGUUGGAAAUGAUACAUUGUCAUUGGAGGCGCCAGGAAAUCUGCAAAGUUAGAUGCCGAGGCGUUCCAACUGUUGAUAUGAAGAAUCUCUGUUAUCAUCUUGAGGUAUCUAUAUUUAGUUUGCUACUGUAUAUAAAUUUGCAUUGUACACAUUCACAUGUGUUAAUAUAUCCCCCAGGCAUAUGGACAUGCAUUCUGUAGUACAAAGCAAAAGAUUUCCAUUGAAUCUAUUUUUCUAAAAUUUGUAUCUUUCUACUGUACUACAAAAUGUGGCAUCCAGUAUACAAAAGUGCCUUUUUUCAAAAAGAAAAUAUUUCAAAAUAGUGAGAUCAUGUUCCUUUUUGUUUCUGUUUUGAAUUGCACGAUAACUCAAAUGACACUCAAUUAUAAGAUGUUUUAGUUUUCUAAAUACAUUGCUUUUACUAUGUAUCUAGACAUAGUGUAUAUCUAAGUACAUAGCAAAACCUAUGUAACUAGAGAAGUCAAAACGUCUUGUGAUUUGGAAUGGAGGGAGUACUUUCAUAAGAGUUGUUUGAAACUUUUAGGAUCAUAGAAAGGAGCAAAAGUUGGGCUUGCUAAUAUUUUGCCUCUUGUUUAUAGAACACCAUAUAUUAUUCUUUUCCUUUAGUGUGAGGAUUUAAGAAAAUAGGGCAAUAGUAUGAAUACCAAAUCUUGAAAACAACAGUGUACUAAUGAACUAAUAAUAUUUUAAUCAGACCAGUGUAUGAGUUAAGGACUAUGAAGAGCUUCUCUAUUGUUAGGGAUGUGUACUUGUUGGCCUCUCAUGGAACAAGACCUCAAUCGUCAUGUAUGUAUGCUUAUGUGUUUUUGACUUUAUUAUAAUGCAUUGUCAAAUAUAAUAACAUCUAUUAUGUUCCAGGAAAAGUCAGGUGGAAAAGUCAUUCACCGAGUAGGUGGCGUUGUUUUUGUGUAUAGAGGAAGACAUUAUGAUCCGAAGACCCGUCCUCACUAUCCACUAAUGCUCUGGAAACCUGCGACUCCUGUGUAUCCAAAACUCAUCAAAGAAGUUCCAGAAGGGCUUACAAAAGAAGAAGCAGAUGAAAUGAGAAGGAAAGGGCGUGAUCUUCUGCCAAUCUGUAAAUUAGGUAUUAAGUUACUGAUCAACUUUAUUCCUAUUCUUAUUGAUUCCUCGCAAAAAAAAAAAAAAAAAAAAAAAAAAAAAACUUUUUUCUUAUUGAUGAUUGCUCUAGUAUGUUUGAAAUCUGGAUGGCCUUCUUAUUCGAUUUGUUUGUUUACAGGUUUCGUAUUUCUGGAAUUCGAAGCAGUAUAUGAAAUGACCUAUUUAGAGCAGGAACCUUAAUCCUGUUAUACACCAUGUACUAGAAUACUAGAUUACCUUUCAAGCCUAACCUAGUACUGUAAAUACAAACCUAAUUGUGAAGGAUAGGACUUUAACAGGGCCCCAGAUUUUAUAUUUUGUUGUAUAUAUGUUUACAAGAUUUUGUACCAUGUAUGUCAUGCACAUGUGGGAUGUGGCUGCUGGCUACUGGUUACCGCUAAGAUUUUUUUUUCUACCUGUCUCUAGUUCUACCGACCAAAAAUGCUAGUCCCUACUUUAGAAAUAGAUGACCCAGUUUGAACUGUUAAACUUCAGUAACUUUGAACGGUGAUUGGUUCGAUUGUUUAGAUUUUUCGUGUGAAAACAAUACCGUUAGAGAGGCAAUAAGUACUUAAAAAUAUAUAGCAUUUUUACUAUUUUGACUAAUGCAUGUUUGUUUCUACUAAAGGGCUGCUGCUGCAGCAGCUGUACACCUGUGCACCAGUGUGUGCAGCUGCAGCUUCAGUCAUUGCUGCUGAUCUGAACAGGCCCAUAGUGCUAAACUGAUUGUCAAAACUGCUCACUGGAAGGAUUGCAUGCUUUUUACUCUGUAUUUAAGGUACAGAGAACAACACAUGCUACUGAUGAUGUAUCUUAUCUUGUAUUUUUCUAAUUUUUUAGCCAAAAAUGGAAUAUACAUCACUCUUGUCAAGGAUGUGCGAGAUGCUUUUGAAGGAAAUGACCUUGUGAAGAUUGACUGUGAGGGUUUGAAUCCAAGUGACUACAAAAAGAUUGGAGCGAAACUAAGGGUUCUAUUCACCCUCAUGAAUUUCUCAGUUUUCAUUUCAUUACUUGUAGUGAAAGUGAAUCCUUUACAUACCUUCUUUCCAGCCCACUUAGCUAAAAUUGCUUACUUCUAUAUAUGCAGGAUCUUGUUCCCUGUGUUCUUUUAUCAUUUGAUGAUGAACAGAUAUUAAUGUACAGAGGCAAAGAAUGGAAAUCCAGAUACUCGAAGCCUCUUACUCUCAUUCCGAAAGUUCCAAAGAAUAAUCUGGCAAUGUCAUCUGACAUGAAUAGUUCAGGUAUGCUUUGUUAACUCUUAUAAUGAUUACCUUGGUCUUGCUUCUUUCAUAUCCAUGCUCAUUUUUAUUUAUAAUAGCAGUUUUGGUGAUUAGGUUUUUAUGAGCUCCUCAUUUUGUAAUCUCUUCCUGCACUCAUUUAUCAUAUUCAUGUGUUUUGCUCAAACAUACACUCAGAUGUGUUGCAUGGAAAAUAUAGCUGCUCUUUAGACCAGUGCCUCCAGUUAAUUUUAUAUUAUUGGUUGCACUUCCUGGAUCAAAAUAACAAGGCAACUUUUUUCCAGAUACAGAUGAAGUUAGUGAUGCCAACACUCAAGUUGCGAUAAGAGAAGUAUUGAGACCCAAAAUGUUUAAAUUAUGGAAGAGUGCAGUGGACUCAUCUCUAGCAUUGCUGCUGGAUGACGCUGAAGCAAAUGAUCUCACACCCGAUUCACUGCUGACUUUGGUUGAGGAGUUCAGCGUGACAUCUCAGGCAGUCGAGCACUCAUUCCCUGCUCUGCUUGUGACCAAUGGUGAGGUGAACACCGAAUCUCUAAGUGCAGAAUACAUAAAUGAUGAUGAGUCUGAAACAAGCAUUGCUGGAAACGAAGAGGGCCAGCUCGAGCAGUCACCUGAUCUCUCUGGCGAUGAACAUUUUGAGCUUGACAUGCUUGAGCGUCUGGAGUCAUCUGUGCCAUUGGGAUCGCUGCCGAUUGACGGCAUGAUAGAGCAGCUGAACAGUGAGUGAACUACGAUGAGCAGUUCAUUCUGUCCAUUGGGGUAACUACUGAUGAUCAGAUUGCAACCUCUGAUUGCAACCUCAGUCUGAUGAUGAUCUCAAUAGCUGAGAAUUUUCAGCGAUUUGGUAGCAAACAUGAUGUAAAGAAAAUAAUUGUAGCGGAUGGGCAUGUGGCCCAGUGGUGAAGGCUCCAAGAGAGGAGCCGGCCCGUGGGGGUUUGAUCCUCCGUCCCGCAUCUGCCCUCCUGUGAAGGGCGCACCAGGUGGUGCUUUCUAAAAAUAAUAAUAAUAUAAUUGUAGUAUAAAAAUGCACUAACUGAUCACACGUAUCAUUGUCACCAUCAAUGAGUGUGCUUGCAUGUAUAUGAAUAUUUUAAAUUUUUUAUACGUUGUUUACCAAAAAAAUAUAGUGGGUGAUUCUUCUGCAAAUUUUGAAUAUUUUUCAAAAUAAGGAAUCGAUUUAUGGUUCAGAAAAUUUUAGGGAAAACCCACCAAAGAGGAAUCAAGAAAGCUACCUUUUGAAAUAAAUGAAAGCAUCCUCUCUGAUCUCUAGUAGCCAGUUACACACCAUGGGACUAUGGGAAUCCUUGGAGUUGUAAAAAAUAAAAAAAAAUGAAUUCUGCAGAUGCUCUAACUUUGUUUUCCCCAAAAAGGGUGUAGAAGGCCUCAAUAUAUCUGAGGAUAUGGUGAAACAAAAAACGUAAACGAAAUAAAAUGUACUCCCUCCAUCUCAAAUUGUAAGUCAUUCCAAGAAUCUUGGAGAGUCAAAGUAUUUUCAUGUUUAAUCAAAAUUAUAGAGAAAAAUACUAAGAUUUGUAACAUAAAGUGAGUAUACUAUGAAAAUAUAAGGACUAUAUGCUAAACUUUUACCUACCUCUUGCCCUCAUUUGUCUACCAUUAUUUCUUCCUUUCGGUUGAGAGAUCCUUUUUGGAGAUUAAUGCCAAAGGGGGAGAAAUAUUGGGAGAGAGUGUAAGGGAGGAGAGAUUGAUAUGUGGAUUGAAAGGGGUAAAGGAGAGGCAUAUAAGAUUUUUCAAAUUUUUGUGUGGUGUGUGCAAGGAUAGUUUAUGCUCUUGAUAAGGACUUUUUAUGUUAGUGUGAAAUGUUCUUGACUUGAAUGGUGGUUGCCUUUAUUUCUGUGCUGCUCUGGCAAGUGCGGCAGUGCCGUCCUCCUAGUACGGCAGUGCCGCCCUCUGCUGGCCAGCAAACUUUGAGUGCAUGACCUGCCAUGAGCAUCACGUUUAUCAUGUUGACACCUUGCACCCCACGGAUGCUAAGAUAUAGAAGAGUUCCCACACUUCAUCUUGAAUAUGUGCAUUUGGCAUUUGAGGCCAAAACUUGAAAUUCUAUUCUAUGCACAUAUUUAAGGGGAGCUCACUAUAUCACAGGAUUCAAAAUCUUAAUGUUUAUCAAUCUCUUGUAAGCUUUAAUUGUGUUGUCAUCAAUCACCAAAAAGGGGGAGAUUGAAAGUGCAUCUAGCCCUUUGUGGGUUUUGGUGAAUUGAAUGACAACAUGAUUAAAGGUCUAAUAAGUUUGUUAAGUGUUGAACAGGAUAUUGAGUCUAUUGCACAUACUUGUGGAUUGUGUAUUAACAAGUAUGUUCAAGGCUCAACAAGCAGGCAAACUUGAUGAUAUGCCACAUAGUGUUGAAAUGAAGGCCAAAUUGUGUAUUGUUGUAUUAAAGGAUUAUGGAAACAAUCUAGGUCAAGCAAAAGACAACAAUGCAAAUAAAAUCUAUGGAAUGGCUUACAUGCUGUGGGAUAUCAUAACAUCAUGAGAAAGCAAGCAUAUUUGACAAAUGGCAAAAGAGACAUGAGUUGAUGUUCUUGGAUUGGUGUCUACAAUGGCUUGCUUUUCAUGAACAAGAAAAGCUUGAUAGUGAACUAGGUUUGAUCAAGCUAGAAGUAUGAAGAUCAAGAUUGAAGUGAGUAUUGAGUGUCAAGCCAAAAUAGAGAGGAUAUAAGGAACUAUGAAUUGGCUUGAUCAUAUUGAUGCUGAUCCAUAUAUGUCUCUAUGUGAGUCAAACUGAAGCUUGAUUGAUCUCAAUAUUUAUAUCUAGAAGAUAUUCAAGCAAGGAUCACAAUAUUGAAGAAAUGAUUAUUCAAUGGAUACUUAAUGUGAUAUGACUUGAGUAUGGCUUGAUAAGGUGAAGAUAGUAAGGAAAGGGCUUCGAGGGACUAAGCAGAGGUGAAGGGAUAAGCGACGGCUUAAGGACCGAGGUACCAUGGCUAAGGUGAAGAAGAGAGUACUUGCAUUGAGUCGAGGAACUAAUCAAGCUAUGAGGAGUCAUAUUGUGUUGAGAAUCAAAUCUUUAGUAGAAGUGACUUGAAUCCAUGGAGGUGAACUCAUAUGUGUUGAAAUGGGUCAAGUCACAUGCUCAAGGUGUGUUUGCUCAAGAAAAGGAGACAAAGUUGAUUGCAACCCUUUAUGUAGUAAUAUUGAGAAGAAAUGGCAUAUGAAGACAUUGAAGACUCAAGUGAUCAAAUUAGUUAUAUUCUCUUGUUCUUGAGUAUAGGUAUGCCGUACUAUCAAGGGGGAUGCAAUACGAAUGAUAGACAAGUCUCAAGUGCUCAAACUAACCGAACCCAAGUGCUAACAUGAGAGAAAACACUUAGCACUACACCUGCACAAGUUGAUCUUGGAGCUUGUUCUCUGCAGGGUUGGAUAGCCCUUGAAACAAGCUUUUCGAAAAGUCCAAGAUCACUACAAACGGAGUUCGGAGUAAAAAGUUAUGGCUUUUUCCGUAAGGUGACCUGUGCUGUUUUUACAAGGGCGGCAGUGCCGCCCCUGUACAGUCACAACGGCUAGUUUUCAAAUCCUAACGGCUAGUUUGAGUGGGAUGAGUAUAUAUACCCAUCCCACUGCUUCUGGUCGUGCUGCUGAUGCUCCAGACCUUCCCAACCUUUGCAAAGCCUCUCCCCAACCCUCUCUUUAUGAGAGUAUUGUGUUUAGUGCACAAUUUAGUGUUGGGGCUGUGUGAUUAAGUGUUAGAGAGCAGAUUAGAGCAAUCCUAACCUUGAGCACUUGCUGGGCUUCGUCGAUCUUCGUUGUGCAUUUGUUGCUCUUGGAGGUGAAGCCUCCUAGACGGCUAGGCGUCGUCCGGCGAGCUCCCGUGCUUGUGGUGAGCAGCGGGACAGUUUGUAAGACUCUCUUGCAGCUAGUGAAAUCACCCCUCACCUCAAGAGUUCAUUCUCUUGAUUUGAGAACGAGGGCAAGGCAAGCCUUGGUGGCGAGCCAAUCCUUUUGUGGAUACCUCAACAACGUGGACUUAGGCAAGCCUUGGUGGCGAGCUGAACCACGGGAUAAACACCGUGUCAUAUUGUGCUUGUUUUACAUUCUUGCAAGUUCAUAUUGUUGUUGAGGUGCUUGUAAGGUUUGUGGCCAAUCUACUUGGUGGUACUUGUUCUGCUGCGUAUAACUACUAUUCAGUGACUAACAUACUUGCAGGAAGCUGGGAAAUUUACCUGAUCUAAAUUUCCUUGGUUGGAUUUUGAAUUGUACUAAGUUCCUCCUGCGCAGGCCGGCAGUGCCGCCCUCCAAGGCCGGCAGUGCCGCCCUCCAAGGCCGGCAGUGCCGCCCUCUAAUCUGAUAGAGUUUUGAGUUGAAACUUUGCAGAUUUGUCACUGGAUAUCUUAAGUACAUCUUCACCAAGUUUGGGCUCCAUUGGACUCACGGUUGUACGAAGGCAGUGCCGCCCUCAAAGGGAGGCAGUGCCGCCCUGAGUUUUAGUUUUUGUUUGAGCAGAAUUUUCGCAGGCCUAUUCACCCCCCCCUCUAGGCCUCCUCGGUGACAUCAAGGUCCUUUCAAUUGGUAUCGGAGCUAGGCUCUCAAUUUCAGGCUUAACCACCUUGAGAGACGAUGUCGACAAGUGAGGAGGUAUCUCUAGAACUUUUACUUUUAGAUGGCUCAAAUUAUACAUCUUGGUCUGCUUGUAUGCUUGAUAUUUUUAGGGCCAUGGGUCCUCAAAUAGAGCAGAUUGUAGAUGUAAGUAUUUCACCUCCUAGUGAUAAUUUGGACUAUCUAUCUAGAGAGGAAGUGAAAUACUUACAAUACAAUGCUCAAGCUACUAAUGUCUUAUUUAGUGCUUUGAGUGAAGAUGUUCUUGAUGCCAUCAUAUUUGGAGAUGGUGAACCACUUGAUGAUGCUCAUAUCAUUUGGACCACGCUCAAAGAAAGAUAUGGCAGCUCCAAAUGUGAUGAGAAGUUGCUCUCAUUGGAGGAACCACUUGAGGAGUGCUCAACUUCACCAAUAAAUAAUGAGCCUCAAGUGAUUCUCCCAAAAGGCCUAAUGGAUCAUACCACAUCCACUUCCUCACCAACACAUGACUUAAUUGAUGGUAAUGAAAUAGUUGGUGAGAACAAAGCUUUUACAUGUGGUACUUCUACUUCCUCUAGUUCUUGUUGUUCUAACAUUUUGAAGGAAGGAGAAGCUUGUGAUCGGUGGAGGCCAAAUGAUGAAUCCCCCUCACCUACAAGCUCAACUCUCCAUGCUACUUCUCCUAUGUGUCUCAUGGCAAAAGGUGAGAAGGUAAAUCAAAAGCCAAACCUUCUUCACCUCCUAGUGACAUCUCUAGCAGUGAUCUUAGUGAUAGCUCUAGUGAUGAUGAAUCUAGUGAUGAAGAGAUUGAUGACAUAAUUAAAAAUUUGGAUCCUAAGACCAAACUCUUCAUCUCUAAACUAAUGGAGGAUUUAGAGGGCAUUCAAGCUGAACUAGCAACUAGAGAUGAUGAUCUUAUUGCACAAGAAAAUAUUUAUAUUGCUAGUAAGGAAGCUCUUGCAUUAGAGAGAAGUGAGGUGGCCUCCUUGCACAAGGCUUUGGCUAAAGAGCAAGAUGACCAUGCUCUCACAAGGAAGGCAAAUAUUACACUCAAUCAAAAGUAUUGUGACUUAGAUGAAAAGCACAAAGAGCUUGAGCUGCAAUAUAAUCUUCUUUGGGAGAGCACCUCACAUCCCUCUAAGGCAAAGGAUGCCUCUACUCCCUCCACUAGCCAAGGUUGUGGAAAAUGCUUUAAUCUUGAUUUGAAUAUUUAUGCCACUAACCUUGCUAAUAUGGAGGUCAUGAGAAAGGAGAUUGCUAGGCUCAAUGAAAUCAUAGCAGCAGGGUGCAUGAAUGACAAAACUCAAUAUGCUGGCAAGAAAAUUGUGAAUGGCUUUGAAUGUGUGCAGUUUGAGAGGAGAGAGCAGUUUGGUACAGUUCAGCCUGCACAGACCGCGGUAGUGCCGCACCCCAAGGGCGGCAGUGCCGCGCCCCGCAAAAAUGGGAAGGCUACCAAUCUGUCUCCUAAUCAAACUAAGCUCAUAAUGAAAAAGUCUAGGCAGAACAACAAAGCUCCCAAAGCCAUCAAGGUGCAGCAUCAACCAAAGAAGACUCUCAUCACUUGCUUCAAGUGCAAGAAAGAGGGUCACCAUGUGAAAGACUGCACCUUAAAUAAAGAAGAGAAGAGCAUGAGCAAGAUUCAAGAGAAGAAGAAGAAGAUGGCUCAUGUCAAGUCCUCUGGUAUGGGACAUAAUGCUUUUAUGUGUUCCAACAAAGUUGAUGACCAAGCCACACUUCCAAAGAACAAGACAAAAAGAAGCAAGAGGAAGUGUUAUGAAUGCAAAGAGAAGGGACAUGAAAUUGACUCAUGUCCCAACAAGAAAAGUGAAGGUUUAUCAUCAACAACAAAGAGGCUCUUUAGCAAGGUAGCAAGCAAAAUGCAAGAAAAGAAGGCUAACAAGAACAAGAGCCGCCUAUGCUACACUUGUAGAGAAAAGGGACACCUAAGCAUAAAUUGUCCCAUGGGUAACACUCACAAGCCCAACUCAUCAAUUGAUUCAAAUAUGCUUAGGAGGCCCAAAAAUGACACUUGUGCUAGAAAGGUGAUAGGUUCACCAAGUGGUAGCACAAAGGCCAUUUGGGUACCUAAGUCUCUUGUGACUAACCAUGAUGGACCCAACAUAGUUUGGGUACCAAAUUGUGCAUGAUGAGUGUUGUAGGUACUUGAAGGUGAUAUGAUGCUUCGGGGUGCUUGAGCAAGUUGAUUGAAAAUUUUCACUCAAGCUAUCAACCAAUUCAUAUUGUUUCUUCUUAUAUGGUUGACUCGAAGAUAAAUUAAUGAAAUUAUUUCAAACUUCAUAUUCACCUUGGUAACUAGUACCUAACCCUUGCUAGCUAGCCAUUUGACUUGUGUAGUCUCUGGUAGUUCACAAGUAUGUGUGUAUUUGUGAAUUAUCAAGAGUGGCUAGAGUAUUUCAAGUUAAAUGAAUCAUUUGCCAUAUGAUGCUUUUAAUGGCUCUCUAGUAGAGCAAAAUCUUGUUUAUGCUGUAGGUAAUGAGGAAUCAUCUUAUGAGGUAAUCAAGAAAAUUGCCACUGGUGAUUUGAGACCAAAGAAGUCCAAGUAACACUGAUAAGGAUAUCCUCAAGCUGCUGCUGCACCUAAUUCCGCUGACACCUCUGAUGCGGUAGUGCCGCCCCUCAGAGCGGCAGUGCCGCCCCUAUAUAGAUAGCAGUAGCUGACAUUAGUCCAAGACAUGGAUGAAGCCUACAACAUGAUGAUGAGCAAAGUGAAAAUGAUGAGACCACCUCAUCCAUCAUAUCUCAAGAAGGGUGGUAACAACAAUAUCUCAAGUGCAAUUAUUUUAAAACUAAACUCCUUUGUGUCUUGUGUAGUCACUUAGGAUAAAUGAAGCACUUGGAGAUAUUCAUUGGUUGCUGGUCAUGAAAGAAAAGUAUGAUUGGAAUUGAAUAGAUCAUCCACACCAAGCAACAUAGAUGACUUUAAGGAGUUUCCUCUGUGGACCUCAAACCAAGAAUUUCAAGAAAGCUCAAGUAGAGGCACUUGUUAUUCACAAUUCAUGAACUCUCUACUUGAUGGAAUCUAGUCAUAUGGUAGAUCGCCAAAAUUCUCAUUUUCAUCUUAUGGGCAUCUACAUGUUGCAAUGGUUGUGAGUAUCUCUUGGCAUAUUUCAAUUACACUAUUUGUUGCCAUGACCUAGACAUAGAGUGAAAAUCCCAAGUUCUUGAAUGAAUAAAAGUGUUAUAUGAGAAAUUCAAAUGCUUAGAGCACUUAUCAAAAGGGAAUUUACUCUAUGACUAGAGUUGUGAGACUAACCAUUUCUCUAAGUGAUUUAUGUAGUCUCACUAAAUGAGAAUGUGUUUCUCAAAUGGAGUGUGCUGUUAUAUGAAGAUCAUUAUUCCAAAACCAUGUGAUGUAUUCUCUCUAGCUAUUUUGGAAUUGAUUCAUCUAUGAUCAGCCACUCACCAUAAUAUGGCUUAAAUCUGCCCUUUGGACUUAAUUGACCAACCAUGCACAUUCACACUUUCAUUUCCACUCAAAGAGUGUGCAUGAGACAUCAAGGGAGAUUUAGUCCAUAUUAUGAGGUUUCUCUAUUUAGUGACCCACUUGCCUUCCACAUAUAAAGGGUUACUAAGUGAGAAACUAGUGCUUGUGUUUCUAAUGACCUUUUUGUGUUGAGCUUGCAUAGGAAAUCAAUAAAAGUUUAUUGUUGGCUAAAUUGAAGAAUUCACAAGCUAUAAGGUUACUCUCCACCUAAAGUAAGAUAUUGCUGCUAGGGGUCAUAUUGAUCAAAAUCUGAAUUUGAAUGAAAUCAAGUUUGAGGGUUAAAUUGGAUGAGCUAUAUUAGAAGAAUUCACAACAUGACAAGUACUAAUAAGAGGACUGAAUGGAAAUUGCAUCUUGUGAGUAUUCUCAACCAAAUCCACCUCAAGACUGGACAAGAAGCAAAGAAGAAUUGUGAAAUAUGAAAUCUGUCCAGAAAUUUGAAAAUCUGAAUUGGCUGCCUUCAAGCAUGGAUUUGGAAGUCCAAACUCUGAUGAAUUGACCUGAAACAUUAUGAGCAUGACACACAUAUCUGAUACUUGUUUCUGUACAGUUUGCAUGAAGAUUGGUUAAGAAGAAAAUCAGUUUUGAGUUGAAUUCUGUCAGCUUCAGCAUUGCAGAUUCAGACCAUAGCAGUUUUGGUAGAAAAUUAUUUUGACUGAUCUAAUGGAGUCCAAAUGAGAUGAAAUUUAUACAGAAGUUAGAGGACUAACAGAUGAAGACCUCUUCCAAAUUUCAUGCAUAUUGGGCUAGUGGUCUGAGAGAUAUGAAUUCUUCUCUGAGGAUGACAGAAUCUGAAAACUGACUGUUUGGAAUUGGAUUGCAGUAUAACAACAAGAUUCAGUUGGCUCUCAAGUUGAUCAUGAAAGAUUUAUUAAAAAUGAGCAACAUCAGUUUGGAUAAAGGAGUUUCAUUGGAAGAAGAGAACUCAUACAAGGAUCCAAACAAGUUGCAAUCAGAUUACAAGCAGUAGCAAAUAAUUGCAAUUAGUUGUUAGAAGAAUUCAAAUGCAGUCUUUCAAAAACAGCAGCUAAGAUCAGUUGAAACUUGAUUAAACUAGUUGGCUUCAGCUUUGACAAGUAGCAAAAAUGAGUUACAAUCAGAUGGUACUAGCUGAAAUCAAUUGGAAGCAACUGAAACUAGCUGAAACUAAUUAGAUUACAACAGCCUGAAGGAGUUUGAAACCAGUUGGAAUGCAGUGUAAACUUCUCCCUUGACCUCAUGGUAUUGAUAUGCAUGAGUGUACUCUGUGUACUUAUGCACAUAUUAAGGGGGAGUUUAGACUAUAUCUUGUGAGACUAUUGGUUUCUUUCAAGUGUAUGUUGUGCAGUCCCACACAAUGGAAAAGGAAGAUGGAUGAUUCCAAUGGAUUCUCUUAGUGCUUCACAAUUAUUCUAGGAUCUUGGUUUUUAUAAACCAGGUGCUCCCAAUUUAAUGUCGAAUGCCCCAAUCCUUAGUGGAACUGAAUUUAAAUGAGUUGGAGAAAAUAAUUGAAGAAUGAGCUUUCAUGACUAUUUCUCCUCUCUAGAGCUCUCAAGUGUUUACGACUCAUCUCAUUGAUUACCUAGGAUCUUGUCAACAAAGACUGGUAACUCCUAGUUCAUAAUUUGCAAAUUUCAUGAAUUUUACCUUUUGCUCUCUAUGUGGGUUGCCUUAGGUAAAGAAAGAACUAGGAACAUAAUUUGUAUCUUGGAUGAUCACAAGAGCUCUAAUUCACCACAUGUCAUCAAUUGAGAAAUGCAUGGUCAUCGAAAUCUUUUGAGCCUCACUUAUGAUGGUCAUAUCAAUGAAAAUCUAUGUGGUGAUCUAUAUACCUUGGUGGUGGUAUGUUUCCUUGGCACAAUUUCAAUUGUUGCAAACUUAUGAUACCUUGACCAAGGUAUAGGAUGAACUCCUCUUGACUCUUAAACCGAUUCAAAUGCACUUUGCAAGUAAUUUGAGUACUUGCUGCAUAUAUUAAGGGGGAGUCCAUUAUAUGUCUUGUGUCUUUGAGACUAACCUUUUCUUCUAGUGAAUUUGUGUAGUCUCUUGGUGAGAAUGAGUUUCUCAUGGGUAUGCUACAUUAACUCAAUCCAAAUGGUAAAGUUAUCUCUCAUAUUUACUUGGAUUGCAAUUUUACUACUUAAGUAGCUACUCUCCAUAAUAUAGCUUAAAUUCCCCUAUUUGGACUUAAUUGACCAAAAGUGCAUAUUUCUUGCCUUCCACAUAUAUAUGUAUGCACUAUCAAAAAGAGGGAAUUUAGUCUAUGUUAUGAGGUUUUGCAAUUAGUGACUUACAUGACUUCCACAUCCAAAAGGUCACUAGUUGUGAAACUCUAGCUUGUGCAAUUUGAUGUUAUCUCUUGUCUUGUAAGCAUUACCUAGGUGACAAUAUGAGAUACAAGCAUCCCAUCCAAUUGGCAUCAGCUUUUGAAGAUUCCUUCAAUUGGUGUCAAAAUUGAGAAGAUCAUAUUUCAAUUGGUAUUGGUGGAUAAUCUUUCAACCUGUCAUAUCAAGAAAUAUGUCUUCAACUGGUAUCUCAAAAUAACAACAAGACUGGCAAUGGACUGUCAACUCAAAUCAAGCACAAGUUUAUGAUAUCUCCUAUGAUCAAGAGAGAUCAUAAAUGAAGUCUUUUUGCAUUUUGCCAAGCCCAUCAAAGCACUAAAUUCAUAAUAUCAUGAUCACAGUGGAGAUUAUGAGGUUUAGAACAAAGGUAUAUUAAUCCAUAAACUCUUGUAUUACCUUUGUGCAUCUAGGCCCUUACAUGCUAGUGUGUGCAUGUGUAUGCAAUAUUUAAGCCACACCAUGAGUUUUUUCUUAUGGUGACGAUUAGAGAAUGAUUUAGAUAUUUGGUUGAUACCUCUAUGGUGGUAAAGUGAGUUUGUCUCAUGUUAAAACUAUCAUCUAAGUGAGGUAUGAGCUAAAUAUGCUAACUUCUCAAGAAUCUUGACUUAAGGUGUUGCAUACUUGGUUUGGUAGAAAACUUAGGAGAGAAAUCCUAUAUGCUAAACUUUUACCUACCUCUUGCCCUCAUUUGUCUACCAUUAUUUCUUCCUUUCGGUUGAGAGAUCCUUUUUGGAGAUUAAUGCCAAAGGGGGAGAAAUAUUGGGAGAGAGUGUAAGGGAGGAGAGAUUGAUAUGUGGAUUGAAAGGGGUAAAGGAGAGGCAUAUAAGAUUUUUCAAAUUUUUGUGUGGUGUGUGCAAGGAUAGUUUAUGCUCUUGAUAAGGACUUUUUAUGUUAGUGUGAAAUGUUCUUGACUUGAAUGGUGGUUGCCUUUAUUUCUGUGCUGCUCUGGCAAGUGCGGCAGUGCCGUCCUCCUAGUACGGCAGUGCCGCCCUCUGCUGGCCAGCAAACUUUGAGUGCAUGACCUGCCAUGAGCAUCACGUUUAUCAUGUUGACACCUUGCACCCCACGGAUGCUAAGAUAUAGAAGAGUUCCCACACUUCAUCUUGAAUAUGUGCAUUUGGCAUUUGAGGCCAAAACUUGAAAUUCUAUUCUAUGCACAUAUUUAAGGGGAGCUCACUAUAUCACAGGAUUCAAAAUCUUAAUGUUUAUCAAUCUCUUGUAAGCUUUAAUUGUGUUGUCAUCAAUCACCAAAAAGGGGGAGAUUGAAAGUGCAUCUAGCCCUUUGUGGGUUUUGGUGAAUUGAAUGACAACAUGAUUAAAGGUCUAAUAAGUUUGUUAAGUGUUGAACAGGAUAUUGAGUCUAUUGCACAUACUUGUGGAUUGUGUAUUAACAAGUAUGUUCAAGGCUCAACAAGCAGGCAAACUUGAUGAUAUGCCACAUAGUGUUGAAAUGAAGGCCAAAUUGUGUAUUGUUGUAUUAAAGGAUUAUGGAAACAAUCUAGGUCAAGCAAAAGACAACAAUGCAAAUAAAAUCUAUGGAAUGGCUUACAUGUUGUGGGAUAUCAUAACAUCAUGAGAAAGCAAGCAUAUUUGACAAAUGGCAAAAGAGACAUGAGUUGAUGUUCUUGGAUUGGUGUCUACAAUGGCUUGCUUUUCAUGAACAAGAAAAGCUUGAUAGUGAACUAGGUUUGAUCAAGCUAGAAGUAUGAAGAUCAAGAUUGAAGUGAGUAUUGAGUGUCAAGCCAAAAUAGAGAGGAUAUAAGGAACUAUGAAUUGGCUUGAUCAUAUUGAUGCUGAUCCAUAUAUGUCUCUAUGUGAGUCAAACUGAAGCUUGAUUGAUCUCAAUAUUUAUAUCUAGAAGAUAUUCAAGCAAGGAUCACAAUAUUGAAGAAAUGAUUAUUCAAUGGAUACUUAAUGUGAUAUGACUUGAGUAUGGCUUGAUAAGGUGAAGAUAGUAAGGAAAGGGCUUCGAGGGACUAAGCAGAGGUGAAGGGAUAAGCGACGGCUUAAGGACCGAGGUACCAUGGCUAAGGUGAAGAAGAGAGUACUUGCAUUGAGUCGAGGAACUAAUCAAGCUAUGAGGAGUCAUAUUGUGUUGAGAAUCAAAUCUUUAGUAGAAGUGACUUGAAUCCAUGGAGGUGAACUCAUAUGUGUUGAAAUGGGUCAAGUCACAUGCUCAAGGUGUGUUUGCUCAAGAAAAGGAGACAAAGUUGAUUGCAACCCUUUAUGUAGUAAUAUUGAGAAGAAAUGGCAUAUGAAGACAUUGAAGACUCAAGUGAUCAAAUUAGUUAUAUUCUCUUGUUCUUGAGUAUAGGUAUGCCGUACUAUCAAGGGGGAUGCAAUACGAAUGAUAGACAAGUCUCAAGUGCUCAAACUAACCGAACCCAAGUGCUAACAUGAGAGAAAACACUUAGCACUACACCUGCACAAGUUGAUCUUGGAGCUUGUUCUCUGCAGGGUUGGAUAGCCCUUGAAACAAGCUUUUCGAAAAGUCCAAGAUCACUACAAACGGAGUUCGGAGUAAAAAGUUAUGGCUUUUUCCGUAAGGUGACCUGUGCUGUUUUUACAAGGGCGGCAGUGCCGCCCCUGUACAGUCACAACGGCUAGUUUUCAAAUCCUAACGGCUAGUUUGAGUGGGAUGAGUAUAUAUACCCAUCCCACUGCUUCUGGUCGUGCUGCUGAUGCUCCAGACCUUCCCAACCUUUGCAAAGCCUCUCCCCAACCCUCUCUUUGUGAGAGUAUUGUGCUUAGUGCACAAUUUAGUGUUGGGGCUGUGUGAUUAAGUGUUAGAGAGCAGAUUAGAGCAAUCCUAACCUUGAGCACUUGCUGGGCUUCGUCGAUCUUCGUUGUGCAUUUGUUGCUCUUGGAGGUGAAGCCUCCUAGACGGCUAGGCGUCGUCCGGCGAGCUCCCGUGCUUGUGGUGAGCAGCGGGACAGUUUGUAAGACUCUCUUGCAACUAGUGAAAUCACCCCUCACCUCAAGAGUUCAUUCUCUUGAUUUGAGAACGAGGGCAAGGCAAGCCUUGGUGGCGAGCCAAUCCUUUUGUGGAUACCUCAACAACGUGGACUUAGGCAAGCCUUGGUGGCGAGCUGAACCACGGGAUAAACACCGUGUCAUAUUGUGCUUGUUUUACAUUCUUGCAAGUUCAUAUUGUUGUUGAGGUGCUUGUAAGGUUUGUGGCCAAUCUACUUGGUGGUACUUGUUCUGCUGCGUAUAACUACUAUUCAGUGACUAACAUACUUGCAGGAAGCUGGGAAAUUUACCUGAUCUAAAUUUCCUUGGUUGGAUUUUGAAUUGUACUAAGUUCCUCCUGCGCAGGCCGGCAGUGCCGCCCUCCAAGGCCGGCAGUGCCGCCCUCUAAUCUGAUAGAGUUUUGAGUUGAAACUUUGCAGAUUUGUCACUGGAUAUCUCAAGUACAUCUUCACCAAGUUUGGGCUCCAUUGGACUCACGGUUGUACGAAGGCAGUGCCGCCCUCAAAGGGAGGCAGUGCCGCCCUGAGUUUUAGUUUUUGUUUGAGCAGAAUUUUCGCAGGCCUAUUCACCCCCCCCCCCCCCCCUCUAGGCCUCCUCGGUGACAUCAAGGUCCUUUCAAUGUGUCUAAAAUUUGUAUGAGUAGAAAUCAACAUGAAAGUACACGCAGUUAGAGUGGAUUGGAGGAAAUCUUUGCAGUUACCAUGAACAGUAUGUUUAUAGUUUCAUAUCUCUUUUGACAGUGCCUAAAAAAACUCUCUUUCCAUAGUUAAUCCUAAUGACCACUGGCGGAGGGCAAUGGAGGCGAAGCUGGGCGCUUGCCUCCCCUUUCUCCAUGCACUGGCCACUACAGGUCCUAUCUCUGACAUGGAGAAGCAAGGUAAGGGAGUCAUAUCAUAGUUCAAGCAUUAUGUGAGAGUUGUAGCUGGCUCUCUUUUUAAUUAGCUUCACACUCCGCCGCUGCUAAUGACUAUUAUAUUAACACAAACUCUUGCCAGCUGCCACGUUUGGCACGUCGCAUCGCAAUCGCCUGCAUCCACCGUGUCCCACGUACGUUUUUCCUUGGGUUGUUUGCCUCGCCGAGAAGGGAACAGGACGGUCAAGUCAAAGAUCGGUGGCCGGAUCAUUCCACUUCCAGUUCCAGCCGCCCGCCGCGACGUGUACCUGUGCUGUGCAUGUGGCCGCCUUCGUGGGUUUUUUUUUUUUUUUUUUUUUUGUUCAGCAACGAACGUACCGAUAGGAAUGUGAUGUGGGAGAAGCAGAGAGGCCGGCCGCGGAGGGUGGAAAAAGGCUGGCUUGACUGGGGAGAGUAUCGGGUCCCACAUCGCGACUGGUUCCACUGAGCGGUGGUCCCAUGCCAGUACAAUCGCUGGCUUGCUUUGCAGUUGUAGGUCCACGUCCAACCGCUCCAGCUCGUAAUUCUCCAUGGAGGCAUGAAGCCAGCUCAUGUCGUUUUUAUUGUGAAAAGUCAAGAGCAUUAUUUAAUACUAGCGUGCAUCGUGCCGGUACCGGCCAACGAAGAAGGUGUUUAGAGCGUUGGUCGGUUAAGGGCUUCCCCGUCGAAUGAUGGUUUCGCAAGGAGUAGAACGGCAGCUUUACUACUCCCUCCCUCCCUCCAUCAUCAUUAAAAAAAAGUCGCUACGAAAAUCAUGCUGAUCAAAUUUAACUAGAUUUAUAAAUAAUAUAAUACAUACUUCCUCUGUAUCAGAUUUAAAAGUCGUUUAAAACAGCAACACAGUUUUCAAAUUAUAACUUUGACCUCUUAUUUUUAUAAAAAUAAUUUUAACAAAAUGAUAUAUGUGUACAUUUAUGAAAGUAUUUUUUAAGACAAAUCUAUUCAUAUAAUUUUCAUAUUUUUUAAGACAAAAGUUAUUGAUGAGUUAUAUUGCUAAUGUUUGACCCAAAUCUUGUCAAAAAAACUUCUAAAUCCGAUAUGGAGGGAGUACAAUAUUUAUAUCUUUAAAUAAAUUUGUUAUAAAAGUAUAUUCAACAAUCUAGCUAAUCAUAUAAAUUAUAUACUAUAAAUAUUAAUAUUUCGUUAAAUAUAUUUGGUCAAAGUUAAAAGUUAGAUAGCUCUUAUUUAGGGAAGGAGGAAGUAUGUCUCAUGAGUCAUGACAUAAAAGUCUAGGCAACCGCCAGAGUCUCGUGUUGUGAGAAGCUGGAAUGGGAAAAACCUGUGUAUAAUGGAUUAAUGGGACCAUAAAUAAUGUUGCUGCGUACUCCCUCCGUCCAUUAGGCCAGUCUCAAUGAGGGUUUUAUUAGAGUUUCAUUACAUUAAAUAUGCUGAUGUGGCACUAUAUUAAUGAAGAGAGAGAUGGUAAGAGUUUUAUGGGAGUAGAGAGAGUUUCAUCCCCAUAAAACUCCUAUGUACUGUUUCCAAAAUAUUGAUGUGUUGGAAACUGUGUCAUGAAACUCCCAUUGAGGAUGGCCUUAGUCUCCUUCGUUUAAGCCUUGUGCACAGAGACCAAGGAGCAUGAAAGACUCACGUCACGUCUUUUCAAUAAAUUAUUAUGGUCCAAUUAAUCUAAUUAAUGUGCAUGCCUGCAUGCAACCAAUGAACAGCCAAUAUGACCCAAGUCCUACAUGGAGACGUGUGCAUACAUCCAAAGAAUGGCCAUAAUUACAGCCGAUCACCUCAACAUGAUGGAGAUAAUUGGAAGAAAAACUUUUGCUUAAAUGAUUGAGAUAAAUGGACGGAGGGAGUAUUGACUAUGCUCUCGUUAAUACAUACUCGUCUCAUCUACGUGGAGGCUGGAGCGAGACCAGCCACCUCCGAUGCAUCCUCAUCUACGUGGAGCAAUAACUUUCGUUGAGGCUAACAACGCUAUUUAGGGGUGUUUGGUUUGCUCUGUUAAACUUUACCGCUUGUUAUAUUGAAUGUUUAGAUACAAACUAUUUACGAAAUUAAAAAUACAGCUGGAGAGUAAUUUGAGAGACGAAUCUUUUAAACCCAAUUAAUCUAUAAUUAGAUACUAAUUAUCAAAUAAGACAAAAAUGCUACAUUAACCAUCGAAACGGGACACCCCCUUAGCUUACGGUGGUCGUGUCCUCAUAGACACAUGAGUCUUUAAAGUGAGUAAAAGUAUUCUUCGACAGAUGAGUCAUUCCCUAAAAAAUAUCAGCUGGUUUUAAGGGAUGUUUGGUUGCUAGCCAUAGUUUACCAUAACUAACUUUAGGUAAGUAUGGCAAGCCACAAAAAGUGUGGUUAGCAAAUUGGUUGCCACACUUUGCUAUGCCUAAAGGAAUCUUGCCACACUUUUUAACUCUAUGACAUGUGGAGCCCAAAAGAAUCAUGUCUAAACUUAGUUGUCAACCAAACACUUGCCAACUUGGUCAAACAUGCCUAAGGUAAAGUGUGGCAAACUGUGGCUGGCAACCAAACAGCCCCUUAUUCUCUAGUCCAUGUCAGCUGAGCAUGGUAACUUGGUAAGGUACAUACACCUUCAUUACCUUAAGUUUGUCGUUGGCUAGCUCAAAAUUAUGCUAAAAAUUGCAGGCGUAUUUUUCCUUUGCCCCUAAAUAUUUGACGGAACCUAGUACUUGAUACUUUUCCUUCCAAAUAGAAUAUUGUCGGUGCACACGAUGCUAAAUCGUGUUUUCAUUUUCAAAAUAUAAAAAGGGGAAUGACUCCGUACUCAAUGAGACUUGGAUAUGAGGUUGUGCAGCUGUUGGACGGGGACCUAUAAAAGGCCGACUAUCUCCAACAAUCAUCACCCAAAAUACAAGACCUAUUUAUCCUUUGGGUAGCGCUACAGGUAAAAGGUUUCAUACCUAUAUUUAGUCUUCUCCAGCAACGAGACCUAAAAGAAAACACUCUCUGCAAAUGGGUCUCGAGGAGAGAGAAUACCCAAAUUUGGGUUAUGCCUCUCCUGAUACCUAAAAAGGGUUUUCUGUAUGGAUACUCUGUUGGAGGCUAUAGGUAUUGUGUUGGAGACCCAUUUUGGGUUUGGGUUCCCAAAUGGGUCUCCUAUCGGAGACAGCCUUAAAAAGCCACAUGAUUUCUGGUUCUGUUUCUCCAGUAUCCAGAUCAUUUUUUUGUUCCUUAUUUUAAUGUAGUACGGUAUCAGUAUUUGUUUCAAUAAUGAAUGUACUACAUGUUUAUUGAUGGUCUCACCCACCAAAGCCUAGAAAUAAAUGAUACAGUAAGCUAUGAGCUAGCUAGAUAUUUUUCGUAGCACCACAAAAUGAUUGAAUGAAAUUCUUAGUACGUGUUUAAAUAAAAAAAAGGUGGGUCAAGAUGAAUGACCCAUUCCCCAUCCACAAAGAGCAUUAUGACUUAUUAUCAGCGGGGGUUGAAGAAAUGGACAUAGACCUACAAGUGCAAGUGAAGGGAUUGGUAGAACAACUCCAAGAGACCUGUUAUGUAAUAUCUAAUGGUUAGGAAUAAAAUUUUAGUAAAAAGUCUUUAACAGUAUUUUUUAUUAAAAUUUUAAAUAUAGCCAUCUUCUAUUUCGAAUUUCUUGUUAGCUGAAGAUAGAAAAUAAGAAUGACUAUCUGAAAACAUGUAGAAAAAUUGUUGAAGAUAGAACGGAUAUAGAAAACGAUCUAUAUGCACAUAAUUCUUUGAAAUAAUGACUUAAAGGGUGAUUUUUGGAAAGGCACUCAGCCAUAGCUGAUUUGUUGUGAAAAAAAAUAUUGUUUAAUGACUGAUAAAUUUAGCUAAUAAACUCUAUGACAGCUCAUACCAACAAGCCGGAUACAGGGCCACCGAUCGCUGCUGCUCUGAUUUUUCUCUUGGGUCCUUAACCGCCCCGACAAAUCUUUCCCCAGCCAAACAGUGUAAAAUCAGACCGGUGUGUAGUACUGAUGAAUUAAGCGUCAAACCGAAGAAGGUUCGUUAAUCACACCAUCGUGAGUGCGAUCUUUUUCUUCCUUCCUUUUUUGUUUGGCAUUGCUUCACCUAGCCUACUAUGAAAAAAGUUAAUCAACAGCCAAACACGUGCAGGGUUGUAACCUUCCGGCGACCGGCGGAGCUCCGUUGUCGGAUCACCGACGAGAUCGGAGCGCGGAACGGCCAAUCGCUGCUGUCGCUCGCUCGCGGAUGCGGACAGCGUGCAGCUGUACGCGGUACGCCUGCUCCAUGGCUGGUUGUUCACCUGCCGCUGUCGUCACGUGGCGUGCUCGGCUGCUCGCUUAACUCUGCUCCAGAUCCGCCGCCAGGCCACAGCACCCCGCUCGCCGCCGGUGGACGGCCGCCCACCGCCAUGGCCGUGGUCGUCAGACGCGUGUUUGGUUCUAGGUUACUGUAACAGGAUGGUUCUAUUCUCUGUCUCUCUCUGCUUGACUGGAGAACGAGGACAUCCUGUUCUGUGUUUCGUUACCUAUGAUAUGAUGAUGAUGCAUUAGACAUAUGUUUUUUUUUACAACCAUUAGAAAUAUGUUAUCCUCUCUCAUCUUCCACAUUGCUACAUCUCUCGGCCCCAACCGUCCCAUUUGCCCUGUCAUGGUUGAGCUUGUCUGUUGAAGCACAAUUGCCCUGUUUCACUUAGCCGCAGAAUAUUUUUUUUUUCUCAAAACAAAUUAGUAUUAGCAUAAGCCGCCGAAAUAAUCAUCCCCGCUAGCUGUUUAAACAGUUCUUUCUUUGGGUGACAAAAAAAUACCUCUACUCGCUCAGAAAUACAGUAGAACUCCACGUGCCCACCCGAUCUACAAAAAGGAUGCAUAAUUUCAGCUUUCCUGCUCAAGAAUCAUGACUGAGGCUUUUAGCCAUGUUUUCAGUUUUUCUCUCUUAUCAAAUGGCCAACUGUUCUUUUAGUCAUAAUUUUUCAGUUUUUCUCUCUUAACAAACAGCGAACGGUUCUUUCAGCUAUAAUAUUUCAGCUAAGCGCGCAUCACGUACCGGUGGCCAAUUUUGCUGCUGUUCAAGUUUGGCCAGUUGUGUAACCAACAGCAACAAAGAUCCAGCCUGUCCCUUCAGUUGCCAAUUUGUGCAGUAUGAACUGUGCGCACCUUUCACAGCUGCUCAAAGGUCACACGAAACAAUUUUUUCACCACCUUUCAUGGUACUCAAAGGUCACCAAGCACAAGUGGACGGAGAAAUGUGAACUUGUAAUUGCGCUUGGUUACACAGGGGGCACCUAAAGGGUAACAGUAACAUACGAAUAUUGAUAGAUUAAAAACUGCAAAUCUCUCAGCAGUUUCAGUACAGACUCGAAAAGGGGAAGAAAAAAAAAUACUGGACGACCAAACUAAAAGAUAAAGAUCAGCGCAUAAUCCUGGUUGCUGCCACACCAAAUUAUACCAAUCCCUAAGCCGGCGGCGCCGACAUGGCUUGCUUGCCAAAGCCUUCUUUUCUUCUCUUCUAUGGAGCAGCCAGUCACUGAUCAAACACACAUCCAGGAGCAGGAGCAGCAGCAGCAGCAGCAAUGCUUGCAGCAGGUAUCAGCAGAGCCAGAGGAAGAUACAGCACGGAGACACACAGUCUUCUUCAUGUCCAAUUUGGCUUCCCAAUCUUAAGCGGAUGCCUUGUCGAACUUGAGGGGCUUCACCACCUCCCAGGUGAAGUCGGCGUCGUCACGGCCAAAGUGGCCGUAGGCGGCGGUCUUGAUGAACCUGUUGCCGCCUUUCUUCAGGUCGAGGUUGAUGGUGAUCAUGCCGGGCCUGAAGUCGAAGUUCUCCUUGACGAUCUUGAGGAUCUCCUUGUCCGGGAUGCUCCCGGUGCCGUACGAGUCGACGAACACGGACAGGGGCUCCGGCACGCCGAUGGCGUAGGAGACCUGCACGAGGCAGCGGCGGGCGAGGCCGCUGGCCACGAUGCUCUUGGCGGCCUGCCUGGCGAUGUAGGCGCCGCUGCGGUCCACCUUGGUGGGGUCCUUGCCGGAGAAGGCGCCACCGCCGUGGGCACCCCAGCCGCCGUAGGUGUCGAUGAUGAUCUUGCGGCCGGUGAGGCCGGCGUCGCCGUGGGGCCCACCGAUGACGAAGCGGCCCGACGGGUUGAGGUGGA